AGAGUUUGAUCAUGGCUCAGAAUCAACGCUGGCGGCGUGCCUCAGACAUGCAAGUCGAACGAUUAAAGCUCUCUUCGGAGAGUGCAUAGAGUGGCGCACGGGUGAGUAACACGUAAGUAAUCUACCCUCGAGUGGGGAAUAACGUCCGGAAACGGACGCUAAUACCGCAUAAUGCAGCGGCACCGCAAGGUGACAGUUGUUAAAGGAGAAAUUCGCUUGAGGAGGAGCUUGCGGCAGAUUAGCUUGUUGGUAAGGUAACGGCUUACCAAGGCUACGAUCUGUAACCGGUCUUAGAGGACGGUCGGUCACACUGACACUGAAUAACGGGUCAGACUCCUACGGGAGGCAGCAGUCGGGAAUUUUGGGCAAUGGGCGAAAGCCUGACCCAGCAACGCCGCGUGAAGGAUGAAGUAUUUCGGUAUGUAAACUUCGAAAGAAUAGGGAAGAAUAAAUGACGGUACUAUUUAUAAGGUCCGGCUAACUACGUGCCAGCAGCCGCGGUAAUACGUAGGGACCAAGCGUUGUUCGGAUUUACUGGGCGUAAAGGGCGCGUAGGCGGCUUUGUAAGUCACUUGUGAAAUCUCCGGGCUUAACUCGGAACGGCCAAGUGAUACUGCAAUGCUAGAGUGCAGAAGGGGCAAUCGGAAUUCUUGGUGUAGCGGUGAAAUGCGUAGAUAUCAAGAGGAACACCUGAGGUGAAGACGGGUUGCUGGGCUGACACUGACGCUGAUGCGCGAAAGCCAGGGGAGCAAACGGGAUUAGAUACCCCAGUAGUCC
rnacentral:rRNA from 1 species